rnacentral:rRNA from 1 species
UACGGAGGGGGCGAGCGUUGUUCGGAAUCACUGGGCGUAAAGGGCGCGUAGGCGGCUUUGCAAGUGACGGGUGAAAUCCCUCGGCUUAACCGAGGAACUGCCUGUCAAACUGCAUGGCUUGAGACCGGGAGAGGUGAGUGGAAUUCCCAGUGUAGCGGUGAAAUGCGUAGAUAUUGGGAGGAACACCAGUGGCGAAGGCGGCUCACUGGACCGGUACUGACGCUGAUGCGCGAAAGCGUGGGGAGCAAACAGG